UGGGUUUUAGGCAGGGCAGAUUCAAUUUUCUGCCACCGAAUACAUUAGCAUGGGAUAAUGGAAUAGGACCCUGUCCUCCUUUUUUCAGUUGGUUAAUUCAUGAGAGAGGAACAGGGUAAUGAUUAAUAGGGAUAGUUGGGGGCAUUAAUAUUUAAUUGUCAGAGGUGAAAUUCUUGGAUUUAUGAAAGAUUAACUUCUGCGAAAGCAUCUGCCAAGGAUGUUUUCAUUAAUCAAGAACGAAAGUUAGGGGAUCGAAGACGAUCAGAUACCGUCGUAGUCUUAACCAUAAACGAUGCCGACCAGCGAUUAGGAGACGUUGAAUACAAAACACCUCUAUAUAUAAUUCAGUAUAUGACUACUCAAAUGGUUGUAUAUUGUGUGUAUAUACUUACGGUGAAUGACCCCCCUACCAGGUUGAAAAAAAAA
rnacentral:rRNA from 1 species